rnacentral:rRNA from 1 species
AAGGUUUCCGUAGGUGAACCUGCGGAAGGAUCAUUCAUAAUAAGUGUUCUACUGCACUUUUUAAAAAUAGUACUCACCUUGUGUGCAAUGUUGUGUGAACUUCUACUUGUAGAAGUCCACACCUACACCAACCUAUAACCUUGAACCACUUUGUCUGAAAAACUAUUAUGAAUACUUAAUUCAAAAUACAACUUUCAACAACGGAUCUCUUGGCUCUCGCAUCGAUGAAGAACGCAGCGAAAUGCGAUACGUAAUGUGAAUUGCAGAAUUCAGUGAAUCAUCGAAUCUUUGAACGCACAUUGCACUCUCUGGUAUUCCGGAGAGUAUGCUUGUUUGAGUAUCAGUAAACACCUCAAAUCUCAACAUUCGUGUUGAGAAUUGGACUUGAGCAAUCCCAACUCUUUGCAAAAGGAGGCGGGUUGCUUGAAAUGCAGGUGCAGCUGGACAUUCUUCUGAGCUAAAAGCAUAUUUAUUUAGUCCCGUCAAACGGAUUAUUACUUUUGCUCUAGCUAACAUAAAGGUUGAAUGUUCUCUAUGCUGACUGAUGCAGGAUUACCAAGAUUUAUUCGUAAAACUUGUAAACUCGAUCUCAAAUCAAGUAAGACUACCCGCUGAACUUAAGC